CGACUACCUGUGGCCAGUGGUACGGACUCGGUGUGCGCUGACUCGUUGUGUAUGUGUGUGUGUAUUUUCGGUUCCUUCAACUUGUAGGUCUUUGCUGGUCUUAAUACGCAGCUAUCGCACCUUGCAGGAGAUUUCCAUAGUUCCCCUGUAAUACUGACCUCCCCCAGAGUGGUGAACAGACAGGCAGACCCAAAUUGUCACGCCAGGGCUAAACCUAAAAAUUUUUAGUGGGUGGGCAUUGGACCUGUUUUUUCUUUUUUUACUUAGCCUUCGCAUAUAAAAUAUCAUGCGUCUAUACUGUAGUACACUUAUUUCUUCAGAUUUAUGUAUCAUUUAUCGAUUGUUCGCACGUAAUAAAAAUGUCAUUUAAUAAGACACUUUUAAUGUUACAUAUUAAUGAAUAUUUUUUUUUAUUUUUAUUUAACUACAUCAACAAACAGUUUACUAAAUUCUGUCACUAUCAAGAAGUAGUGUUUUCGUAAUGUUUAGAUCAUCCGCUACAGACCUUUUGGGCGGAAUUAAUUGAGUGGGGAGCUGGGGGAGGCUAUCUGAGGUCGCUUUUGUGCAGGAAUGAUGACGAAAUUGAGUGUCAUUCAAAUGGAUGAUUAACGAGUAAUUAUGAGAGGGCAAAAAUAACUAAGAUAAAAGAAUGAUCUAUGUGAUCUUCGAAAGGGAGAUUUUUUUAUCUACCUAUAAAUAAGACGCAAAGACGGCCUUUUCUAUGAUAAACCUCAUCGUUGUUUGAAGGAAUCGGUUUUAGUGUCAUUUUUGCUGUUAACAUUACCGUCACUAGAUUCACUAUGCAUAGUUAAUAUGUCAGUGUAUGAAUAUGGAGGUAGGAAUAGGCUAACAGACUUACACAGGACUGGCCUGAACUUUUUGACCACCUGAAGCCUAAAUAGGUCAUCUGACGUCGAGGUUAAUUGCUAUUCAACAUUCACAGCAGGAGUCGACGACUGAACUCGGUAGACAAGAAGUGACGGAACUCCUAUUUCACUUCAAGAAAUGGAGUCUGACUGCAACUGACUGGAUUCGACCAUUGUCGUACUUUACUUGAUUUGUGAAGUAGACCCUUGAGAAUAAGGUUACUUACUCAUGGGUAAUUGUGAACUCAAUGAGGAGUAGUUUAUAUUAUUUUACACCAUGAGUCCUGAUUGUAUUUAUUUUUGAUAGGAGCUUGGGACAACUCCCAUGGUGGGAAGGGUGUUAAGAAUGUGUGUGUAGUUUUUAUGUCUUUCAUUAUUUUACGUAAGCAUUUCCUCUUAAUGUAUAAGCAAAGAAGCACCGACUUGCUUUGCAAGUGCAUUUUGUCUCCACAAUCUUAACGAGAUUAAUAAAUACAGUUUGAUUCAAGAUGGCUGCUGCUGACUUUCAUUUCUGAACCAGAUCGUCUUCAUUCCAGCCUCCAGAGCGCCUCAGGAUCUACAGACCUGACUACCCAAACAGACCUCUGGAGGGGUGACUUGGAAAAGAAAAUUGAGAGAGAGAUGUUGGUAUACUGACGACACCGACAGCACAAGUUCCUAGCCUCCUGAUUUCGAUUUCUUAGAAGAAUAGUUCCUAAUUUAACGACCAGAAUACAACCAGAGAAUCCCAGGACAACCAGCAGAUGAUACUAUAUAAGUCCUGAUUUCGGACAGGAGUUUGACUGGCUACCACCUGAUUGAAAGAGGCGGUUAGGAAUGAAAUGAAGAGAUGUCUUUGGUUUAGACCAAGUUAUUUUCAAUAUUGACCCCUGCUCUAGCUUCAAAACACGUCUCUGUCGCCAAUGGGAGAUCGUUUACGAAGAAUCUUUGCCCAAAAACCGAAGCUUUGAGCCAAUGAGAGAGAGGGCGAUAGAAACGUCGUGUAUAAUGGAGGCCUGAAUAGUGACAGCUGACAGGACGGUUUCCUUCCUAUACAAGAGCUAAGAACUGGUAAGAAUAUGGAGUUCCUUGGGUCAUAUUCUUAAUGUUGUAGGUUAGAAUGACCAUCGGGAAUCUUAAGACUGUCAUGGAAAGGGGUAUUGUGGGCCCGGAAUAGAGAAUUUUGGCACUUUUGCCAAGUUUUUCUGUAGGGCUUCAAAGCUGUAGAAGCUGGAUGGCCGUUGUAGUAUACUUUUUGAGAAACUGACUUGUGGUAAAUUUCUGUAGAUUCUGAGGAUCUCGAACGUAUUUGUGGUUUGGGGUCCAUAGCGGAGCUUUCGUCUUAAUUUUACAAAGGUGCUAAAGGGAGAAAGAGGCCUGCUGCGUAUAUCUGGCCUCUUUGAACCGACACAGAGACACAGACGAUGUCAGACAGACGUUUCCUUCUUGGGUUAUGUGGGAAAAGGGCCAAGUAUAGCGAU